rnacentral:rRNA from 1 species
UACGUAGGGUGCGAGCGUUAAUCGGAAUUACUGGGCGUAAAGCGUGCGCAGGCGGUUGUGCAAGACAGGCGUGAAAUCCCCGGGCUUAACCUGGGAACUGCGCUUGUGACUGCACGGCUAGAGUACGGCAGAGGGGGGUGGAAUUCCACGUGUAGCAGUGAAAUGCGUAGAGAUGUGGAGGAACACCGAUGGCGAAGGCAGCCCCCUGGGCCGAUACUGACGCUCAUGCACGAAAGCGUGGGGAGCAAACAGG